rnacentral:rRNA from 1 species
AUUGAACGCUGGCGGCAGGCCUAACACAUGCAAGUCGAGCGGAUGAAGGGAGCUUGCUCCUGGAUUCAGCGGCGGACGGGUGAGUAAUGCCUAGGAAUCUGCCUGGUAGUGGGGGAUAACGUCCGGAAACGGGCGCUAAUACCGCAUACGUCCUGAGGGAGAAAGUGGGGGAUCUUCGGACCUCACGCUAUCAGAUGAGCCUAGGUCGGAUUAGCUAGUUGGUGGGGUAAAGGCCUACCAAGGCGACGAUCCGUAACUGGUCUGAGAGGAUGAUCAGUCACACUGGAACUGGGACGCGGACCAGGCUCCUACGGGAGGCAGCAGUGGGGAAUAUUGGACAAUGGGCGAAAGCCUGAUCCAGCCAUGCCGCGUGUGUGAAGAAGGUCUUCGGAUUGUAAAGCACUUUAAGUUGGGAGGAAGGGCAGUAAGUUAAUACCUUGCUGUUUUGACGUUACCAACAGAAUAAGCACCGGCUAACUUCGUG